GCCUGGCUGGCUCAGCUGGAACAGCAUAUGACUCUUAAUCUCAGGGCCAUGAGUUCAAGCCCCAUGCUGGGUG
rnacentral:tRNA from 1 species